AGUGGGGAGCUGCUACUCUUCCCAGGUCAAGUUAUUAUUAUUGUUGUUGUUAUUAUUAUUGUUACUAUUUUGCAGAAAACCAGGCAAACGAGAGACAAUAAAGGAUGGGAAAUACUCCAUAUGGACUCAGUAAAGCUUAGGUGAAAUGACAUAGACUGACAUGCUAUAUAAAAAAUGGAGCACUUGAGCACCAGCACUGGGGAUGAGAAGUUAUUGCCAUCACAAAGUUCCUUGCAAUGCAAACUACAAAACUGCCUGGAUAUGACUAUGAAUGGUGAUCAAUCCAAGAUCUUUGAGGCUGCAGCCAACUCUAAUGCAAGCAGGAAGAAAGAAGAAGGUGUUGGGGAGAAGUUGUUUAUUUGCAAACUGCAUGAGGGUGACUUUGGGCAGCAUGGAGACAAGCCCCUUACUCAGCAGAUCCCUUUAGGGGGCUCAUUGCAAAGACCUAUUCUUAGUUCUUAAAGAGCCAGAAAGUCAUCUGAGAGUUCUGGGUAGUAGGGGGAGGAAAGAGAAACCAAGACAGGUCUAUAAGAGAAGGGUUACAAUUAGGUCUUGCAGUUAGCAUAAUUUCACAUAGAAAUUGUUUUAUUUAAAGAUAUGUAAAACUCACAGUGGGUUCACAUCUUUUCAACUAUAGUAUUUUUUUUGGAUGAGCCUCACCACGAAGAUCAGUUCCCUUCUUUACAAUUCAAAAACUUCCCACUGUAAAAGUAACCUGCCACUGACUGACACUGUGUCUGGAGUCCUGUACUUGGAUGGUCCCAUUUCAUCUGAGUUAUGAGGAGACUCUAAAGCUUAGAGGAUUUACAUACUGCUUCAGUGCUGAUCUGGUAUUUGAUCACAGUCUAUCUGAUCCGGGAACUGGAACACUUAACCACAUACUAUGCUCUUCCUUAGACACUUGAUACUCUGACCACAGACCAUUUUUCUCAGGGCUGUAUGUAAACAGCAGCCUGAAUUCUGAGAGCAUGUUGAAGCAGGAGCAUCUGAUAUAGAGCCCCAGUUGUCCUCUGUUAGAUUCUGAGGUUCUACUUAAGCCUCCAAAUUUGAGAAGAGCUUGAAGUUGGCUCCAUGGAGAAUGUGGAGGUGAUUAAUGAGUUUUACAAAAAAGGAAUGAGGAAGGGCUGUAGAACUGUUUGCUAUGAAGAUAAAGAGGAAGCUGGGAGGGUAACUGGGCAAUAGCUGCAGCUAGUUUUGGGGUAGAUACAAACCAUAGAUUCUAGGAAAAAGAAAGAAAGCUGUAAGCCUUGUAAUCUAUCAUCAGAUCCAAGGAAGAACCCUGAGCUCUACAACAUGAAUGCAUGAAGAUAAUAGGGAAAGNNNNNNNNNNNNNNNNNNNNNNNNNNNNNNNNNNNNNNNNNNNNNNNNNNNNNNNNNNNNNNNNNNNNNNNNNNNNNNNNNGGGAAAGAAGAUUGUCUCCCUUUUAGAGGGAGCAAGAAGCAAUUAAUCAAUAAGUCUUUAUGGACUACUUGCUCUGUGUACUCAGACCUGGGCACAGAGUCAUAGGACUUAGCCAGAAACAAACUCUGUUCUUAGAAACAAAUUGGUCUCAUUGAGUUGCAAGACUUCUAAUGAAAAUAGAUUCCACGAGACAGUGUGCCUGUGACACAAAUGUGGUUUACUGCUGUUGUGCCAAUCUGGUAGCCACUUGCCACACGUGGCUAGGGAAGAUUUGAAGUGUGACUAGUCCACACUGUACUGCAAAUUUAAACUACGUACUAGAUGUCAAACUCCUAGUAUGAAAAAAUAAUGCAAAGUAUUUGAGUAUAUUUUAUGUUGAUAUGUUAUAAUGAUAUGAUGUGUAGAUUAGAUUAAAUAACUAAUGCUAAAUUUUGGUUUUGUAACUUCUGUGAUGGGAAGGAGAUGAAGAGAUGGAGGGGGGUGGAGGAAAGGGGAUGAAUAAAGAAUUGAGAUGUGUUACAUUCAUGUACCAACUGUCCAUAAGGAUGUAAUUAUUGUAUACUAUGAACAUGUACUGAUAAAAAAAUAAA
rnacentral:lncRNA from 1 species